UUUCAUAAACAACCAGGAUGUUGGCUCAGAAGCAGCCACCAUUUAAAGAGUGCGUAAUAGCUCACUGGUCGAGAGACCCUGCGCCGAAGAUUCCCGGGGCUAAAGUACGAAACCGAAGCUGUGGCUGUAUACGUAAAGUAUACGGGGUAGGGGAGCGUUCCCAUAGGGUAGAAGUCGAACUGGAAGGUUCGGUGGACUUGUGGGAAGUGAGAAUGUUGGUAUGAGUAGCGAAAAGAAAGGUGAGAAUCCUUUCCACCGAAAGCAUAAGGAUUCCUGAGCAACGAUCGUCGUCUCAGGGUAAGUCGGGACCUAAUCCGAGGCAGAGAGCGUAGGAGAUGGACAACUGGUUGAUAUUCCAGUACCGGUAGUAAUUGUUUGAGCAAUGGAGUGACACAGAAGGGCAGGCAAGCAUGCGAAUGGAAGAGCAUGUGUAAGCGUGUAGGGUGGUGCAUAGGCAAAUCCGUGCACUGAAAGCCUGAGGCGUGAUGCGGAGUGAGCAGAGAUGCGAGCGAAGUUGUUGACCCCACACUGUCGAGAAAAGCUUCUAGUGAGAGAGCUACCGCCCGUACCGUAAACCGACACAGGUAUGCGGGGAGAGAAUCCUAAGGUGCGCGGGAGAACCCUCGUUAAGGAACUCGGCAAAAUGUACCCGUAACUUCGGGAUAAGGGUAGCCACUGUUGUGAAGUCCCAUGCGGAUGGAGCAUAGAGUGGUCGCAGAGAAGAGGCCCAAGCGACUGUUUACCAUAAACACAGGUGCCUGCUAAAGCGAAAGCUGACGUAUAGGUGCUGACACCUGCCCAGUGCCGGAAGGUUAAGGAAGGAUGUUCGGAGUAAUCCAAAGCAUUCGACUGAAGCCCCGGUGAACGGCGGCCGUAACUAUAACGGUCCUAAGGUAGCGAAAUUCCUUGUCGGGUAAGUUCCGACCCGCACGAAAGGUGUAACGAUUUGGGCACUGUCUCAACGAGGGACCCGGUGAAAUUGAAAUACCUGUGAAGAUGCAGGUUACCCGCGACUGGACAGAAAGACCCCAUGGAGCUUUACUGUAACCUGACAUUGGGUUUUGAUACAUUACGUACAGGAUAGGUGGGAGGCUUGGAAAGCUGGACGCUAGUCUGGCUGGAGCCGACGUUGGGAUACCACCCUUGAUGUAUUGAAAUUCUAACCGCGAGAGUAACGAAAUCCGGGACAGUGUCAGGCGGGCAGUUUGACUGGGGCGGUCGCCUCCGAAAGAGUAACGGAGGCGCCCAAAGGUUCCCUCAGCGCGGCCGGAAAUCGCGCGAAGAGUGUAAAGGCAGAAGGGAGCUUGACUGCGAGUCAAACACGACGAGCAGGUACGAAAGUAGGGCUUAGUGAUCCGGUGGUACCGAGUGGAAGGGCCAUCGCUCAACGGAUAAAAGCUACCCUGGGGAUAACAGGCUAAUCUCUCCCAAGAGUCCAUAUCGACGGGGAGGUUUGGCACCUCGAUGUCGGCUCAUCACAUCCUGGGGCUG
rnacentral:rRNA from 1 species